GACAGAGGGUGCAAACGUUGUUCGGAAUUACUGGGCGUAAAGCGCGUGUAGGCGGCCUGACAAGUCGGAUGUGAAAGCCCUCGGCUCAACCGAGGAAGUGCGUUCGAAACUGUCGGGCUUGAGUACCGGAGAGGGUGGCGGAAUUCCCCAAGUAGAGGUGAAAUUCGUAGAUAUGGGGAGGAACACCGGUGGCGAAGGCGGCCACCUGGACGGUCACUGACGCUGAGACGCGAAAGCGUGGGUAGCAAACAGG
rnacentral:rRNA from 1 species